rnacentral:lncRNA from 1 species
GUCGAUUUUCAGAGCCCCUCAAUACUUCAGUGUGUGCUUAUGAGGCUGGACUCUCCAGCUGCAUAUCUAUCAAGAGUGGCUGUGGAGGCAUCAGCUUCUAUGUGCUUGCUACAUACUUCCUUGCUGCAAUUGAAUCUAAGUUUUUGAGAGCUAUACCACAUGAAAUAGAGUUAAUUCCUCAAGAGGAAUACAGAUCUAAGUUCUGUUAUUCAGUUGCGGAAUGUCGGGCAUCCUAUCCACGAGCUAUGGAUAGAGGCAAUGAUUUUUUCAAGUAUUUGCUGUCCAGAGUGGUGGUUUCCUCUGUUGGAGGUAUUCCUAAGUACAACGUAGAUGAGGACACAGUGAUUCGUUAUAUGUGGGACGUCCAUCAAGCAGCCGUUGAUGUUGGAAAAUUACAGCUCAGUGAUGUAUCAUUCUAUUCUUCUGAAACUGAACGAGACUUCUUCAUGGACUUUCUACUUGCAGUAGAAUUUUCUGUGGCAACAUUAUAUCACCCCUACAUUAACAGUACGGCAGAAUUCCUAGUGGGUUUCCCACAUAGGCCACUCACAGACCAAGAUCGUAAUGUUCUUGCAAGUGACGUCACCGUACGGGAAAAAGCAUUUAUGAGUUCAGUGAAAUUCUUUUCGAGAACAAUGAAGCUACAGGAGGGUUAUUUUUAACAGUUUGGAAGAUAGCCAUGACUUCAGAAGCUGGACGGGCUGCAGGACGAUUCCUCAUUAAAAGGCUUCUCUUAAUACCAAGUCUUUAAUGGCCUUUUUUUAAUGCCACUAUAUAUAAUCAACUUGAUUCCAUGAUUAAACGCAAUUAAACGCACAGUUGACUCAGUUCUUGGCCUAAGUAGAUAUUUUGUAAGUAUGUUCCAAAUGAUUGAGGCUACUCUGAACAAUACUAAAAAGCAUAAAAUGUCCUGUGACUUUGCUGUUAUAGCAAGAAUUCCUGCCAAAAUUCUGAAAUAAACACGAAUGGG